rnacentral:rRNA from 1 species
UACGGAGGGGGCUAGCGUUGUUCGGAAUUACUGGGCGUAAAGCGCACGUAGGCGGCUUUGCAAGUCAGAGGUGAAAGCCCGGAGCUCAACUCCGGAACUGCCUUUAAGACUGCAUCGCUAGAAUUGUGGAGAGGUAAGUGGAAUUCCGAGUGUAGAGGUGAAAUUCGUAGAUAUUCGGAAGAACACCAGUGGCGAAGGCGACUUACUGGACACAUAUUGACGCUGAGGUGCGAAAGCGUGGGGAGCAAACAGG